UACGGAGGAUCCAAGCGUUAUCCGGAAUCAUUGGGUUUAAAGGGUCCGUAGGCGGUUUGGUAAGUCAGUGGUGAAAGCCCAUCGCUCAACGGUGGAACGGCCAUUGAUACUGCCAGACUUGAAUUAUUAGGAAGUAACUAGAAUAUGUAGUGUAGCGGUGAAAUGCUUAGAGAUUACAUGGAAUACCAAUUGCGAAGGCAGGUUACUACUAAUGGAUUGACGCUGAUGGACGAAAGCGUGGUAGCGAACAGG
rnacentral:rRNA from 1 species